rnacentral:tRNA from 1 species
GGAUCGUGAGCAGCACUGGCGACUGCAGCGGGCUGUAACCCCGCCUCUUCGGAAUACUUCGUUCGACUCGAAGACGAUCCACCA